UACGUAGGGGGCAAGCGUUAUCCGGAAUUACUGGGUGUAAAGGGUGAGUAGGCGGCAUGGUAAGCCAGAUGUGAAAGCCUUGGGCUUAACCCGAGGAUUGCAUUUGGAACUAUCAAGCUAGAGUACAGGAGAGGAAAGCGGAAUUCCUAGUGUAGCGGUGAAAUGCGUAGAUAUUAGGAAGAACACCAGUGGCGAAGGCGGCUUUCUGGACUGAAACUGACGCUGAGGCACGAAAGCGUGGGGAGCAAAUAGG
rnacentral:rRNA from 1 species